rfam:Picea glauca, whole genome shotgun sequence.
CCCGUUGAGUUUAAUCAUAUAAUUAAGUGGAGGAAAAUAAACUUACAAGGAUUCCCCUAGUAACGACGAGUGAACCGGGAAGAUCCCAGCAUGAAAAUCGGGUGGCAGUGCCACCUGAAUUGUAGUAUGUAUAAGCGUCCUUAGUGGUGGACUGGGCCCAAGUCCCCUAGAAGGGGGUUCUUGAGAGGGAGACAACCCCGUUGGGCUAAGACCCUGCCGCACCACGAGGCAUUGUCGGCAAGUUUGGUUUUUUGUGAAUGCAACCCUAAUCAGGUGGUAAAUUUUGUCCAAGGCUAAAUGUGGGGGAGAGACCAAAAGCGAACAAGUACCACAAGGGAAAGAUGAAAAGGACUUUGAAAAUAGAGUUAAAGAGUGCUUGAAAUUGCCGGGAGGGAAGCGGAUGGAGGCUGACGAUGCGUCUCGGUCAGAUGCAGAAUGACUCAAGCUGGUCCUCCACUCAACUCGAGGUACGAACUAGCACAGGUCGUUGCAUUGACACAAGUGUAGGUGGAGUAUUUCCUGUUGGUUUUCCGUUGUGGCGGUCGAGAAGCAAAGAAAUCGAGGGAUUCCACCAACACUCAUUUAAAUUUAUUUUUAAUUGCUUGACAAUACUUAUUUUAGUUUGUUGAUAUUGAGCUCGCACAUGAGGUAGUUUAUAUCUAUGAGAAUUUACGAUCAAUUUUUCAAGCCUGAAUUUGAUGUGUAAAUAUAU